GAUCGAACUGGGGGUGUUCCUGGAGGAAUAUUCGGGAUUAUCGCGGAUCCUGCGUUGAGUGAUCUAGUCGAAGAUCGGACGCAAACUGGCGCGGUUCUUGUACGAUCUUCUUUCGUGGAAUCCAUUGUCGAGACGUAAUUUACAGCGGUUAACUUGAUUUUUAUUAUAUACAUACGUCCCAUUCCCCGAAUACGAUUUCUUUUUGAACAUUGAUCGAAAGCAGUUUGGCGAAACGAGUUCACUGAGAUUAAACGGAAGUCGUUAGACUACUGUCAUUAUUCCUGCCGUGAACGUCUUGUGAACACCGAAAAAUGCCACAGCCGGCCCACGAGACGAAGAACAUCCUGACCACAUACUUCAUACUCAUCCUACUGCUGAUCAGCCUCUGGUUAUUGUAUUCGGGACUGUUUUAAAUUCAGAAUACACAUUCCUCGUGAUGGAGUGAAAUAACACGAAAAGGAACACGGUCAAAAGCAAGACAUUCUUAAACACUCAGGAUACCAUC